UACGGGGGGGGUAAGCGUUGUUCGGAAUUACUGGGCGUAAAGGGCUCGUAGGCGGCCAACUAAGUCGGACGUGAAAUCCCUCGGCUUAACCGGGGAACUGCGUCCGAUACUGGUUGGCUUGAAUCCGGGAGAGGGAUGCAGAAUUCCAGGUGUAGCGGUGAAAUGCGUAGAUAUCUGGAGGAACACCGGUGGCGAAGGCGGCAUCCUGGACCGACACUGACACUGAGGAGCGAAAGCCAGGGGAGCAAACGGGG
rnacentral:rRNA from 1 species